GGGGUUGUGGCUCAGUGAUAGGGUGCUCACCUAGGGGGUGUGAGGCCCUGGGUUUGAUCCUCAGCACCACA
rnacentral:tRNA from 1 species